UACGUAGGGUGCGAGCGUUGUCCGGAAUUAUUGGGCGUAAAGAGCUCGUAGGCGGUGUGUCGCGUCGGCCGUGAAAACCUGCAGCUUAACUGUGGGCGUGCGGUCGAUACGGGCAUCACUGGAGUUCGGCAGGGGAGACUGGAAUUCCUGGUGUAGCGGUGAAAUGCGCAGAUAUCAGGAGGAACACCGGUGGCGAAGGCGGGUCUCUGGGCCGAAACUGACGCUGGAGGAGCGAAAGCGUGGGGAGCGAACAGG
rnacentral:rRNA from 1 species